rnacentral:tRNA from 1 species
AGAGUUGUGGCUUAGUGGUAGAGUGCUUGCCUCACAUGUGUGAGGCACUGGGUUCGAUUCUCAGCACCACAU